CAGCAGCCGCGGUAAUACGUAGGUGGCAAGCGUUGUCCGGAAUUAUUGGGCAUAAAGGGCUCGCAGGCGGUUUCUUAAGUCUGAUGUGAAAGCCCCCGGCUCAACCGGGGAGGGUCAUUGGAAACUGGGAAACUUGAGUGCAGAAGAGGUGAGUGGAAUUCCACGUGUAGCGGUGGAAUGCGUAGAGAUGUGGAGGAACACCAGUGGCGAAGGCGGCUCUCUGGUCUGUAACUGACGCUGAGGAGCGAAAGCGUGGGGAGCGAACAGGAUUAGAUACCCCAGUAGUCCCUGUCUCUUAUAC
rnacentral:rRNA from 1 species